UAAGCGGAGGAAAAGAAACCAACAGGGAUUGCCCUAGUAACGGCGAGUGAAGCGGCAACAGCUCAAAUUUGAAAUCUGGCUUCGGCCCGAGUUGUAAUUUGCAGAGGAAGCUUUAGGCGCGGCACCUCCUGAGUCCCCUGGAACGGGGCGCCACAGAGGGUGAGAGCCCCGUAUAGUUGGAUGCCUAGCCUGUGUAAAGCUCCUUCGACGAGUCGAGUAGUUUGGGAAUGCUGCUCAAAAUGGGAGGUAAAUUUCUUCUAAAGCUAAAUACCGGCCAGAGACCGAUAGCGCACAAGUAGAGUGAUCGAAAGAUGAAAAGCACUUUGAAAAGAGGGUUAAAUAGCACGUGAAAUUGUUGAAAGGGAAGCGCUUGUGACCAGACUUGCGCCGGGCUGAUCAUCCGGUGUUCUCACCGGUGCACUCUGCCCGGCUCAGGCCAGCAUCGGUUCUCGCGGGGGGAUAAAGGCCCUGGGAACGUAGCUCCUCCGGGAGUGUUAUAGCCCGGGGCGCAA
rnacentral:rRNA from 1 species